rnacentral:rRNA from 1 species
AUUGAACGCUGGCGGCAUGCCUUACACAUGCAAGUCGAACGGUAAUAGGUCUUCGGAUGCUGACGAGUGGCGAACGGGUGAGUAAUACGUCUGAACGUGCCUAUUAGUGGGGGAUAACUACUCGAAAGAGUGGCUAAUACCGCAUGUGAUCUACGGAUGAAAGCAGAGGAUCGCAAGACCUUGUGCUACUAGAGCGGCCGGUGUCAGAUUAGGGAGUGGGUGGGAGAAAAGCUUCCCAAGCCGACGAUCUGUAGCUGGUGUGAGAGGACGCUGGGCCACACUGGAACUGGGACACGGCCCCAACUCCAACAGGGGGCAGCAGUGGGGAUUUUGGGACAAUGGGGGCAAGCCUGAGCCAGCAAUGCCGCGGGCAGGAUGAAGGCCUUCGGGUUGUAAGCUGCUUUUGUACGGAACGAAAAGCACUGGGUUAAUACCCUGGGGUCAUGACGGUACCGUAAGAAUAAGCACCGGCUAACUACGUGCCAGCCGCCGCGGUAAUAC